CGGAAAGAUCUGUCUUAGUGGCGGACGGGUGAGUAACGCGUGGGCAACCUGCCCUGUACCGGGGGAUAACACUUAGAAAUAGGUGCUAAUACCGCAUAAUAGGGAAUACCGCAUGGUAAUCCUUUGAAAACUCCGGUGGUACAGGAUGGGCCCGCGUCCGAUUAGCCAGUUGGCGGGGUAACGGCCCACCAAAGCGACGAUCAGCAGCCGGCCUGAGAGGGUGGACGGCCACACUGGGACUGAGACACGGCCCAGACUCCUACGGGAGGCAGCAG
rnacentral:rRNA from 1 species